CCUACGGGAGGCUGCAGUAGGGAAUCUUCCACAAUGGGCGAAAGCCUGAUGGAGCAACGCCGCGUGGGUGAAGAAGGUCUUCGGAUCGUAAAACCCUGUUGUUAGAGAAGAAAGUGCGUGAGAGUAACUGUUCACGUUUCGACGGUAUCUAACCAGAAAGCCACGGCUAACUACGUGCCAGCAGCCGCGGUAAUACGUAGGUGGCAAGCGUUAUCCGGAUUUAUUGGGCGUAAAGGGAACGCUGGCGGUCUUUUAAGUCUGAUGUGAAAGCCUUCGGCUUAACCGGAGUAGUGCAUUGGAAACUGGGAGACGUGAGUGCAGAAGAGGAGAGUGGAACUCCAUGUGUAGCGGUGAAAUGCGUAGAUAUAUGGAAGAACACCAGUGGCGGAAGCGGCUCUCUGGUCUGUAACUGACGCUGAGGUUCGAAAGCGUGGGUAGCAAACAGGAUUAGAUACCCUAGUAGUC
rnacentral:rRNA from 1 species